GCUGCAACUUUCCUGGUGCUCUGGGGCUAAGCUUAAGAACUAAGAUUCAGAGCAAAGCAAGACAAUGCCAGCAGCAGCUCUGGGUGCUUGUGAUGUAGCAGGUUGUGCCAGGGGCAGGUGCAGCCUCCCUGCCUCCCUUACCUUCACCACAGCCACAACAGGCCAGGUGAGCCCAGCCUUCACGUCUCUAGGAUAUCUCGGGGGUCUGAGGCCACCGCACCUUUUGCAGCACGCUCCACUCACUGAUCUGCGAUAUGGAAGAUGUGUUCACUGGCGAAUAAAUCGCCUUGUCAAGUUAACAGCCUAUGUCCAAGGAGAGGAGAAGGAGAUCCUGAAUACAUUUUCUGAAAUGUGCCUCCAGUCCCUCACUGAUCCCGACAUGUGGGAGGAAGGAGGGGAGGACGGUGAAGACCAUCAGCAAGGGAGAGCAGGUUCCCUGCCCUAGUCCCUGCCCUGGUUCCCUGCCCUGCUCCCCUGCCCUGGUCCCCUGCCCUUGUCCCCUCCCUGGUUCCUGCCCUUGUCCCUGACCUGGUCCCCUGCCCUGGUCCCUGCCCUGCUCCCCUGUCCUAGUCCCCUGCCCUGCUCCCCUGCCCUGGUUCCCGCCCUGGUCCCCACCCUGGUCCCCCGCCCUGGUCCCCGCCCUGGUCCCCUGCCCUGGUCCCCCGCCCUGGUCCCCUGCCCUGGUCUCUGCCCCAUGUUGUGGGUCUUUGGGCUACAUUUCUACUCAUUGGCUGAGCAUAAACACUAUCCUAUGAACUAUUUGGCGGCAAGUUCAAAGCAAAGAAUAUUAACUCUGUGAGGCACCUUAGAUAAUGCCUGGCUUUACCACCACUUGACAAAUAGAGACACACGUUCUGACUCACCCACCAUCUCAGGAGCAACUGACCAGGCUGAGGAACUGUGUCCGCUGUCUGCGGCCCACUUGGCUUUCCAUUGAGACUUGCUUUCCAGGACUCUGAGCGGAGAUCGGUUUCUAAGAAGCAUAAAUUGUUAUUUUGUAUCUAGCUGCACAUCGGUUUAUAUAUCUUGAACAUUAAAACAAAUCCACUGAUAAGAAUUUUUCUCGCAAGUUAAUUAAGGAAACUAGAUAAAUGGAAAGUUCUUAGGUUAUGAAAAUAUUUACGUGAAUAUGUUAUGCAGGAAUCAUUUCAAAAUGAGUUAAAGGGGCUGGACACAGUGGCUCUCGCCUGUAAUCUCAGCCCUUUGGGAGGCCAAGGCGGGCGGAUCACAAGGCAGGAGAUGGAGACCAUCCUGGUUAACACGGUGAAACCCCGUCUCUACUAAAAAUAUAACAAACUAGCCGGGUGUCGUGGCGGGCACCUGUAGUCCCAGCUACUCGGAGGCUGAGGCAGGAGAAUGGCGUGAACCCGGGAGGCGGAGCUUGCAGUGAGCUGAGAUCCAGUCACUCCACUCCAGCCUGGGCGACAGAGCGAGACUCCAUCUCAAAAGUAAAUAAAUAAAUAAAUAACCAAUACAAAAAAAAAAAAAAAGGCAACCAGAUGAGAUGGUGUGUGCCUGUAAACCUAGCUUUUUGUGGGAGGCUGAGGCAGGAGAAUCACUUGAACCCGGGAGGUGGAGCUUGCAGUGAGCCGAGAUCAUGUCGCUGCACUCCAGCCUGGGCGACAGAGGGAGACUCCGUCUCAAAAACAAACAAACAAAAAAUGAGUUAAAGGAAUCUAGGAUAUUUUGCUCUCUGUCCCUAACCUUUGGGGCUUGAUUUGACAGAAACCUGGGAGUGGGAGGGUGAAGUUUGUUGUUGCCCUGCUUGUCUUGAAUUUGUGGUGGCCACAGAGUGCAGGCUUGACUUCAUGCAGGUUCACACACCAAUCAGGAGAACUGAUUUUUGUAUUUACUUUGAUAUAUAUUUUUUAGUGAAAAUAAAAGCAAUACCAGUUUUCUGAAGGGUUUCUUAAAUCAACUCCUUUGUGUCCUAGAGGGCAAUACUUUGCUCCUAGAGAAGCCUAUGAACCACGGGUGUCUUUGAUUUGUCUCAUUGGAACGCGCACUCUCAUACCGUAUGCUAUCCCUCACGUGUGCUGGAAGUUAAUAGUCUGCAGAGUAGCCUUUAUGGGGAAGCCAGCUUCCUGUGCUCUGCUACUCUGCAAAAAUCACAUCUGGAUAGAGAAGAAACCGGUGACAAGAUGUCUCUCUCUUGGUCUGUGCAAUGAACUGACUCUUAUCGGUGGGGUGAGGGGGGUGGUGUCAGCAGUGGUGAGAUAUAUAUUUCAAAUGUCAGCAACAAAAGAAGAGAGAGAAACAGAGGAAACAUAAACAGCUGUUAACCCCUGAGUUUGCUUUCCGGGAAAAGUUAACAGCCACACACUGAGGGCGGCUGCCAUCCCUGCUGUCCACCUAGAUUUGUGCAUCUGUGGUCCCAUCGAGCUGUAUGGUUUUGUCAUUCACAGCAAACAUGGAAAAGAUCCCCACUCUCCCCGUGAAAUGUUCUGGUUUUAGAUUCAUAAGCUAUAUAGACAAUAAUUUCUGAAAAGAAUGUGUAUUUAAUGUGUUGACUGAGGAACUGAAAGGCAGGGCUGUUUACAAAAGACUUAAGUGCAGAAUUUCGGAAGGUGCUGAGUGUUAGCUCAGCCGUCUCCUGGAAGGUGCUUUUCAUUCAUUUCUCUGUAGCACAUGGUGUUUUCAUUUCUAAUUUGUGGAAGAAUUUAGUGCAAAACUCGGAGCACAAUUAUUGGGGCCAAUGACAACGCACAUAUGUGGAAUUUUGAGGACUUUUGCAGAUUUUAUGGAUUUGGUGCAGUUCCACAGCAAACUAUAAAAUUAUUAUUGCAGACCAGAAGGUUGUAAAAGUUAAAACACAAACUAUCCGAAUUACAGGGCCUAGCAAAACGUGCAAGAAACAGUUAAGUCAUCGUUCACAUCCCUAUCAUUUGGUAUUCUAAUGCUUCGUUUGGGUAAAUAUUUUUAUCAGCUUUUUGUCUUAACAAUUUCUGGAAAUAGGCUGAUAAUUUUGUUUUCACAGUUGGUGAUUGUAUAUGGACGAAAGGUAUGAAAGAUGAUGAGAUUUCUACUUUUAAGAUAAAAAGACUGGCAUAUUCUAUUAGUUCUACCUCAUCAAUUUUAUUACUUAUUUUUUUCAGUUCUUAUUUUGUUUUAUUUUUGAAUAUGGUAUCUGCUGUAUGUUGAUAAUGGUGAGUUAAAAAUUUAUCAGCUCCAGCCAAAUGUCUGCCUGUUUUUUGUUAUAUAUAUAUGUAUAUAUAUUGGGGCUUCUUUAUUUGGUAUAUUAAAGUUUAUUCAUGCCGUAUCUUUAUUAUUAGCUUACCAAUUUAACAUAAUACAAUGCUCUUUUAACUUAAUAAGAGACUUUAAAUACUACAUUGCCUGAAAUGAUAUUACCAAAUCUGCUUUUCUUUUGUAUAUAUUUAAUUAGUUACAAUGUGCCCAGUCCUUAAUUUAUGACCUUCUAAUCCAGCUUUCCGUUAUGUUUCUAGGCAGCAACAUCUUGUAACAUUGUGUUGUUGGAUUUUGUUUUAAUUCAACUUAAGACACCGCAAACACGGUAGUGGAAUUUAAGCCCUUAACACCCAAUACCAGUUUAUUCUGAACAGUUUAAACUCAUGAUCCUCUAUUUCUUUUCUUUGCUUGUGGCUUCACAGAGGCCUGUGUGCCGCGCUGGGAGGUUAAGGAAUGCAGCGGGAAACCUCUGAGCCCCACUGAGGCCGUCGCAGUUAGAAAGAGGCCAGGUCCUCGUUGCCUGUUUUGUCGGUGGGAUUCUCUCGCACACUCACGCCUUCUUGAAUGCUCACACUCAUGCGCGUUCACACUCACUCACUUCCCCACCUUCACACGCACACGAUCGUGUAUGUGACAUUUUCUGGUUUCAUAGUGUUUAAAACUUAGCCUUUAGGGGUGACUGAUGCUUUUCUGGGUAAAAUGCUGAGGACUGUGAAGGGACUGCAUGAGAUCAAAAGAUCCCCUACCCUGGGAGAAGUUCUGAAUGAUUUGGGGGCUGGUCCUGGGGGAAGUUCUGGUGAUUUGGGGGCUGGUCCUGGGGGAAGUUCUGGUGAUUUGGGGGCUGGUCCUGGGGGAAGUUCUGGUGAUUUGGGGGCUGGUCCUGGGGGAAGUUCUGGUGAUUUGGGAGCUGGUCCUGGGGGAUGUUCUGGUGAUUUGGGAGCUGGUCCUGGGAGAAGUUCUGAAUGAUUUGGGGGAUGGUCCUGGGGAAAGUUCUGAAUGAUUUGGGGCUGAUUCUUGGUUCUGGCUGAUUUGGGAGCUGGUCCUUGGUGAGCAUCGUGCACACCUGGAUUUCAUCCUCUGCGCAGUAGAGGGGUUGGGCCAUGAAUGGUCCUAGAUCAAGAUGAGCACUGAACUUGGUGAUUUUCGUCCUGAUUUUCAUAACCAACAAGCAGUGCUUUAUUGUUAUCUUCUACUCCACGGAUUUAAACAUUUUGUUUCUUUAUAAUAAACCAAACUGUGUACUUUCUCCACUACAUGUGAUUUAAAAAUAAUGUUCCUAAGUUUCCAGGGGUGUCUGUUCAUCCUCCUGCUGUUCAUAAUUACACCAGCAGUAGUAGCUACCCCUGACUGUGUUUCUUUACUGUGCUGACCCUCACUCUGUACCCACAGCACCUUACCCCAGCUCCUGCCUGUGGCACGGGUAUUGUUUCUAGUUGAUAGACGAGGAACCCAAGGGCGGGUUCCCGUAACGAAUGAGCAUCAGAGCACAUAUUUAACCCAGCUUUUGGCUCUAGAAGUCCUCGUUCUUUGUUGUCGAAGGAA
ensembl:lncRNA